UACGGAGGGGGCUAGCGUUGUUCGGAAUUACUGGGCGUAAAGCGCACGUAGGCGGCUUGAAAAGUUGGGGGUGAAAGCCCGGAGCUCAACUCCGGAAUUGCCUUCAAAACUCUUAAGCUAGAGUUCGGAAGAGGAGAGUGGAAUUCCCAGUGUAGAGGUGAAAUUCGUAGAUAUUGGGAAGAACACCAGUGGCGAAGGCGGCUCUCUGGUCCGAUACUGACGCUGAGGUGCGAAAGCGUGGGGAGCAAACAGG
rnacentral:rRNA from 1 species